rfam:Gossypium raimondii scaffold_179_contig_8, whole genome shotgun sequence.
GGUUGCGAUCAUACAAGCAAUAAUGCACAGGAUCCCUUCAGAUCUCCGCAGUUAAGCGUGCUUGGGCGAGAGUACUACUAGGAUGGGUGACCUCCUGGGAAGUCCUCGUGUUGCACCCC